rnacentral:rRNA from 1 species
GACGAACCGUGCUAACGUUGUUCGGAAUCAUUGGGCUUAAAGGGCGCGUAGGCGGGUCAGCAAGUCAGGGGUGAAAUCCCACGGCUCAACCGUGGAAGAGCCUGUGAUACUGCUGAUCUUGAGGGAGGUAGGGGCGUGCGGAACUUCCGGUGGAGCGGUGAAAUGCGUAGAUAUCGGAAGGAACACCGGUGGCGAAAGCGGCGCGCUGGACCUCUUCUGACGCUGAGGCGCGAAAGCCAGGGGAGCAAACGGG